rnacentral:rRNA from 1 species
GACGAACGCUGGCGGCGUGCCUAAUACAUGCAAGUAGAACGCUGAAGGAGGAGCUUGCUUCUCUGGAUGAGUUGCGAACGGGUGAGUAACGCGUAGGUAACUUGCCUGGUAGCGGGGGAUAACUAUUGGAAACGAUAGCUAAUACCGCAUAAUAGCAGUUGUUGCAUGAUAACUGUUUGAAAGGUGCAAUUGCACCACUACCAGAUGGACCUGCGUUGUAUUAGCUAGUUGGUGGGGUAACGGCUCACCAAGGCGACGAUACAUAGCCGACCUGAGAGGGUGAUCGGCCACACUGGGACUGAGACACGGCCCAGACUCCUACGGGAGGCAGCAGUAGGGAAUCUUCGGCAAUGGACGGAAGUCUGACCGAGCAACGCCGCGUGAGUGAAGAAGGUUUUCGGAUCGUAAAGCUCUGUUGUAAGAGAAGAACGAGUGUGAGAGGGAAAGUUCACA